rnacentral:rRNA from 1 species
UGGAAGGGAUGUAUUUAUUAGAUUAAAAACCAAUGCCCUUCGGGGCUCUCUGGUGAUUCAUAAUAACUUCUCGAAUCGCACGGCCUUGCGCCGGCGAUGGUUCAUUCAAAUUUCUGCCCUAUCAACUUUCGACGGCUGGGUCUUGGCCAGCCAUGGUGACAACGGGUAACGGAGGGUUAGGGCUCGACCCCGGAGAAGGAGCCUGAGAAACGGCUACUACAUCCAAGGAAGGCAGCAGGCGCGCAAAUUACCCAAUCCCGACACGGGGAGGUAGUGACAACAAAUACUGAUACAGGGCUCUUUCGGGUCUUGUAAUUGGAAUGAGUACAAUUUAAAUCCCUUAACGAGGAACAAUUGGAGGGCAAGUCUGGUGCCAGCAGCCGCGGUAAUUCCAGCUCCAAUAGCGUAUAUUAAAGUUGUUGAGGUUAAAAAGCUCGUAGUUGAACCUUGGGCCUAGCCGGCCGGUCCGCCUCACCGCGUGCACUGGCUCGGCUGGGCCUUUCCUUCUGGAGAACCGCAUGCCCUUCACUGGGUGUGCCGGGGAACCAGGACUUUUAC